UAAGAGUCCAGUGGGGAUCAGUUUCUGUCCAGGUCUUUCAGGUCCACAGUGAUGAUGAGGUUCCUGGUUCUCCUGCUGGGCUCUCUGGGUCUUCUGGGUCAUGGUUCAUCAGGGGAAAUCAUUCUGACUCAGUCUGCUGACUCUCAGUCUGUCAGUCCAGGACAGACCAUCUCCAUCACAUGUAGAACCAGUUCAAGUGUUGGUGGUUGCCUCAACUGGUACCUUCAGAAACCCAGAAAAGUUCCUAAACUCCUGAUUUAUUACGCUACAAACCGUCAGUCUGGAGUUUCAGAUCGUUUCAGUGGAAGUGGGUCUGGGACUGACUUCAGUCUGAAAAUCACUGAAGUCCAGAUUGAAGAUGCAGCCGUUUAUUACUGUCAGCAGUGUAACAGCUUCCCGUUCACACAGUGA